CGGGUGAGUAAUGUAUGGGGAUCUGCCUGAUGGCGGGGGAUAACUACUGGAAACGGUAGCUAAUACCGCAUAAUGUCUACGGACCAAAGCGGGGGACCUCCGGGCCUCGCGCCAUCAGAUGAACCCAUAUGGGAUUAGCUAGUAGGUGAGGUAACGGCUUACCUAGGCGACGAUCCCUAGCUGGUCUGAGAGGAUGAUCAGCCACACUGGAACUGAGACACGGUCCAG
rnacentral:rRNA from 1 species